GGAAGUGAUCGAGCGAUGACAACCAGGAGGUGGGCUUGGAAGCAGCCAUCCUUUGAAGAAAGCGUAAUAGCUCACUGGUCUAGCUCCAUGGCACCGAAAAUGUCUCAGGGCUCAAGUGAUUCACCGAAGCGACGAGACCUUGAAAGCAGCUAUUUCAAGUGUCAGUAGCGGGACGUUCUGUCAAUCGGGGAAGGUUUUUGGUGACAAGACCUGGAGA
rnacentral:ncRNA from 1 species